GACGAACGCUGGCGGCGUGCUUAACACAAUGCAAGUCGAGCGGUAAGGCCCUUUCGGGGGUACACGAGCGGCGAACGGGUGAGUAACACGUGGGUGACCUGCCCUUAGCUCUGGGAUAAGCCUGGGAAACUGGGUCUAAUACCGGAUAUGACUCCAUGACGCAUGUUGUGGGGUGGAAAGCCUUGUGCGGCUAGGGGAUGGGCCCGCGGCCUAUCAGCUUGUUGGUGGGGUGAUGGCCUACCAAGGCGACGACGGGUAGCCGGCCUGAGAGGGCGACCGGCCACACUGGGACUGAGACACGGCCCAGACUCCUACGGGAGGCAGCAGUGGGGAAUCUUGCGCAAUGGGCGAAAGCCUGACGCAGCGACGCCGCGUGAGGGAUGACGGCCU
rnacentral:rRNA from 1 species